CGCACCUUGCGCUCCUUGGUAUUCCGAGGAGCAUGCCUGUUUGAGUGUCUUGAAGUCAUCAACCCCUCCCGUUUCGUGCGGGAAGGGUUGGAUGUGGGGGCUCUGCUGCCGUGAGGCGGCUCCCCUCAAAUGCAUCGGUUGGGCCUGUGGGUCGAACUCGACUGGGCGUUGUACCAUCCUCGCUCGACAGAGAUGUUCCCCUUCCGAGCCCUCCCCCGACCUGCCUGUCAGAGUGGCGGUCAAGCAACUAUGAAAUCUGGCCUCAAAUCAGGUAGGACUACCCGCUGAACUUAA
rnacentral:misc_RNA from 1 species